rnacentral:tRNA from 1 species
GGGGGUGUGGCUCAGUAGUGGAGCACUUGCCUAGCAUGUAUGAGGCACUGGGUUUGAUUCUCAGCACUGCAU